rnacentral:rRNA from 1 species
UACGAAGGGUGCAAGCGUUACUCGGAAUUACUGGGCGUAAAGCGUGCGUAGGUGGUUCGUUAAGUCUGAUGUGAAAGCCCUGGGCUCAACCUGGGAAUGGCAUUGGAUACUGGCGACCUAGAGUGCGGUAGAGGGGUGUGGAAUUCCCGGUGUAGCAGUGAAAUGCGUAGAUAUCGGGAGGAACAUCUGUGGCAAAGGCGACACCCUGGACCAGCACUGACACUGAGGCACGAAAGCGUGGGGAGCAAACAGG